GAAGAAACCAACAUGCCUAUGACCCCAAAUCCUGUGGCUAACAUCAAAGUGAAUAAAAGUGGAAAUACAGCAAAAUGGCAGAAGUGAUUUUUGAUUUCUUCCCUGUCCAACCUGUGAAGGAGUGCAGAUCUACCUAGGCUUUGAGUGACCAUCUCACCACUAUGAAGGUCUCAUAUCGAUAAUGCCAUGAGAGACCAAAGACCAAGCCAUGCAAACAACUCCAAUAAGACUUGUAGGUCAAUCCCUGAGAAAUGUAAGGAGAAAUGUCGUAAGGAUGAUUUCAUGAGGAUAAUACUGAAUGAACCCAACAAGGAUACUUCAGCAAGCCAAGGGCAUUUUCUAGUAAAUGUGAUUGCCUGCACCAUACAACGCUCCUUUUCCAUAAUGGCUGGAAUAAAAAUGAAAGUAUGCAACAGCACCUUCAAGGGAAAUCGAGAGAGUAAACCUGAAGCAGACUGUGAGUGGAUGUGA
rnacentral:lncRNA from 1 species